AUUGUCUCUGCUUCCUAAUGCUCCGCUUAGUCAAUGCGGCGGACUGGGACUGGAGCACUGAGUAGCUGGAGUUCCACUACUCCUGAUUUAUAAUUAUCUGUCCUGAUCAAUAUCUGGAUUCACCUGUUAUCAUCCAUGCUAACUCAUCUGAACGGAUAAAGGGGAUCACCCAGGGCGCAGAAAGUGGAGAUGGGUCCCCUGAUGGUCCUAGCUGUUCUAGUAGGGCUACUGGGGACAGCGUCUGAUUCCACCCAAGUGCAGGUCACAGGUAAUACUCAGGACCAGAGCAAUGUUCCUGGAGAAACAGAGGAAUGUACUUCAGAUUUACCUCAGAAUUCAUCUUCUUCAACAAACACCAGCUUUGCAGUCGUGAUCCACAGAGAUAGCUCUGCACUUCAGUCUUGGCCUGCAGCAGAACAAACAGAAGUUAAAGUUUUUAGGAGUGGAUCAGAAGUCAUUUCCAGGAGGUACUGGUAUACAAGUGUUGUCUUUGGAGUCCGACAACCAGAAACUACACCAGCAAUUACAUUGUUCACAACACCAGUACAGACCUCAUCAGAACAAACUACCACCACAGUGGCAGAAACCAGCACUGUACAAUCAACAGAACUGUCAACACAGUCAACAGAUGAUACAGCACUGACAACAGAAGCCACGACUGUAAUAACAACUAAUGCUACAUCCAAGCAAUCAACAGUCCAAACAUCUGCAUACCAGGACAGUACUGUCUCACCAGGGACAUCGAUUUCAACUACAGACCUAGUGGAAACAUCUGCAAUGACAGAGUCCAUGACAACAGAUCAAAUACCUUCUGUAACACCAACAACUCUAACACCAUCUGAAAACCCACCAACUACUGCUGAAAACCCAACAGAAACAACUUUGUCAUCAACACAAACACCUUCUGUAGCACCAACAACUGUAACACCAUCUGAAAACCCAACAGAAACACCUUCUGUAACACCAACAACUGUAACACCAUCUGAAAAUACACCAACUACUGCUGAAAACCCAACAGAAACAACUUCAUCAACACAAACACCUUCUGUAACACCAACAACUCUAACACCAUCCAUACCUCCAUCAACAUCUACUGCAGAACCAACAUCUACACCCUCACCUUCCAUAACACCAACAACGAUAACACCAUCCAAAUCCACAUCAACAAUUACUGCAGAACCAACAACAUCUACACCAGAACCUUCUGUAACACAAACAACUGUGACGACCACAAUUACAACGCCUACAAAUUCCACAACAACUACAACACCCACAAUGCCUACAACACCCACAACAUCCACAACACAAACUAACACAACAGCUACAACAACUACAAUCACUACAUCCACAAAGCCCACAACACCUACAACUACAACCAAUACAUCUACAACAACCAACACAGCCCCUACAACCACCACGCCCACAAAGUCCACAACAACUACAACCACCACACCCACAACAACCACCACACCCACAGCAACCACAACUACAACCACCACACUCACAACAACCACCACACCCACAAAGUCCACAACAACUACAACCACCACACCCACAGCAACCACCACACCCACAGCAACCACAACUACAACCACCACACCCACAAAGUCCACAGCAACCACAACUACAACCACUACACUCACAACAACCACCACACCCACAAAGUCCACAACAACUACAACCACCACACCCACAACAACCACCACACCCACAGCAACCACAACUACAACCACCACACCCACAAAAUCCACAGCAACCACAACCACCACACCCACAACAACCACCACACCCACAAAGUCCACAGCAACCAUAACUACAACCACCACACUGACAACAACCACCACGCCCACAAAGUCCACAACAACUACAACCACUACACUCACAACUACAACCACCACACCGACAACAACCACCACACCCACAACAACCACCACACCCACAACAACCACCACACCCACAAAGCCCACAACUACAACCACUACACUCACAACUACAACCACCACACCAACAACAACCACCACACCCACAAAGCCCACCACACCCACAACAACCACCACACCCACAACAACCACCACACCCACAACAACCAC
rnacentral:lncRNA from 1 species